GGCCGCAUAGUUCAAUUGGAUAGAAUAUCAGAUUUCGGCUCUGAGGGUUGAGGGUUCGAGUCCUUCUGCGGUCACAA
rnacentral:tRNA from 1 species